rnacentral:rRNA from 1 species
GACGAACGCUGGCGGCGUGCUUAACACAUGCAAGUCGAACGGAAAGGCCCUGCUUUUGUGGGGUGCUCGAGUGGCGAACGGGUGAGUAACACGUGAGUAACCUGCCCUUGACUUUGGGAUAACUUCAGGAAACUGGGGCUAAUACCGGAUAGGAGCUCCUGCUGCAUGGUGGGGGUUGGAAAGUUUCGGCGGUUGGGGAUGGACUCGCGGCUUAUCAGCUUGUUGGUGGGGUAGUGGCUUACCAAGGCUUUGACGGGUAGCCGGCCUGAGAGGGUGACCGGCCACAUUGGGACUGAGAUACGGCCCAGACUCCUACGGGAGGCAGCAGUGGGGAAUAUUGCACAAUGGGCGGAAGCCUGAUGCAGCAACGCCGCGUGCGGGAUGACGGCCUUCGGGUUGUAAACCGCUUUCGCCUGUGACGAAGCGUGAGUGGCGGUAAUGGGAAAAGAAGCACCGGCUAACUACGUG